AAGGUGAGAGCUGCGUUUGUGGGAAUGAUCAUGGCAGAGUGUGCUCAAGUUGGUUUAAUCAUAUUGAGCAAACAAGUCAUGGCACAAGGCAUGACCAAUUUCAUCUUCAUCUUCUACUCCAACACAAUCGCUUCCCUCAUUCUUCUUCCCACUUCAUUCUUAGUCCACAGAUUUCAACGCCCUCCUAUCACUUUCUCCAUCCUUUGCCAAUUCUUCUUGCUUGGAUUACUCGGGCAAGUUCACUUAAUCCUACCCCUUUAUUGAUUAUGCAUAAAUUGUGAGUUCUAUUCUAAUAACAUGGUUUUUUUUUUUCAUUUUUAGUUUGUUUUCAGAUUUUUGGCUCAGGCUUUUGGGUAUGCUGGGAUUAACUACAGCUCACCGACGCUUGGUACUGCCAUGCUCAACCUUAUUCCUGGUUUUACCUUCAUACUUGCAGUUGCUUUCAGGUUCAGUGACUUUGAAUUAUUUGAGAAUUUUCUGUUCUUUCAGACAAAUUUAUUUGAGCACUUUGGCUAGUUGUCAUUAUUCUAUUUGGGUGAAUAAAGAGGAAAUUUUGAGCUUAUUGAACAUUCUAGUUUUGGUAACACUUGUGUUUUCUGGUUGAAUGAGAAUUUAUAAAUAUAAAUAAUGUGUUUUCUGUGAAUAAUAUAUCAUGACUGUGCCUUGUGAUGGAUUUUCUUCAAUUCUGUUAUCACUAAUUUUCCGCCUAAUGAAGGAUUGGUGCCAUCAACUCCUAUUUCAUGGAGAUUUUGAAGUAGCAUUUUGUUGGAACUACCAUGUCCUCACUUUAGGAUGAAGUAAAUGUUUCACAUUGAAUUACAAACUAUCUUGAGUGACAGCUGUGCAGUACUUCUCUAUCUCACUAGUAUUUGGAUACUUGUUAGUAUCUCAUUUUGAGACAAAAAAGUGAACAAAACUCUUCCAUGGAUUGAAAAUCCGUUUAAAUUACACUCAAUUGUAUCCAAACACACACGGAGGAUAGAAUUAACUUUUUAAGUCUUUUUCCUUCAGUUUUAUUUCUUAGUUGUUGGAUAGACUGCAAACCCAUAAGUAAUUUGCAAGGGUUAAUUCAACUGGCAUAUAACCUGUCCAAGUCUCAAUCAUUUUCUUGGAUUUGUCUCUUUUCUGGCUCCAAAUGAAGUCAAAUUAAUUUAUCAAUUCUCAAGGGAAUUGCUCUAUUGAGCCUAUUACAAUGUAAUUUGACCUAAAAUUCUCUCAUAUAUCAAUUUGGUUUACCAACAUGCAUAAAUAGUUGUCAAUUACUGAAAUAGUUAUACUGCAGAAUCAUGUCGCUGAGAUUUUUUGCACUCUUUAUUUUCCCAAAAUUCUUUCCAACUAAAGAUUCACAAUUAAUCAUAUUUUGUCUUGAAAAUGAAAAAUGUUCCAUUUUUGGAGUUUAGGCACCUGGUGCUAACACGAGUGCUUUGAGAUUCUUGUUUUCAAUAAUCAUAUGUUCAGAUCACAUAAUGAUUUAUUUGAUCAGAAAACCUUCUGCAAUUCUUUUAAGUAAAAGCAACUCCUCAGGGUUUUGAAAGUUUUGUAUGUUUUGUGUCUUUUUUUCUAGACAAAAGGCUGACCAAAUAUGCACACUCAUUGUAAAGCAAAAGAUACAUACUUGUUCUUUCAAUCAAACCAGUCAUUCACUGCUAUACAUAUGCUUUCAGAAUGGAACUAUUGGAUUGGAAAAGCUCUAGUACCCUUGCUAAAUCACUGGGAACAAUAGUAUCAAUUACUGGUGCAUUUAUUGCGACAUUGUACAAAGGCCCUGCACUUCUGAUGGGGCUAUCACCUUCAAACUCAUCUCAGCAGCCAGUUUCCUCUCAAGAUUCUAAUUGGAUACUUGGAGGAUUAUUUCUCGCAGCUGAUUGCGUAAUGGCUUCAGGAUUUUUAAUUUUACAGGUAAAAUUAUCAAGUAGAAGUAGAGCUUCAUGAUUAAUGCUUUCUACUUGCAUGGUACACAAUGGGUUGAAUAUAAUUGGCUAUAUUUCAGGCUUCUAUUCUUAAGAAAUAUCCAGCAGGGUUGAUUACUGUAUUCUUUUAUACUUUCUUUGUGGCCAUUCAAUCUGGUGUGACCUGUUUGGUUGUGGAAAGAGACAUCAGUGCUUGGAGCUUGGAACCAAUGUUUAGGUUGCUUGCUGUUUUAUACUCGGUAAUCAAAAUGUAAAUUAAUUUGAUUAGCUUAGAACUAGUAACUACUGCUUAUCUUGGCCUAGAAGUCUGAAACAUCAUCUGUAAACAUUCCAGGGAGUCAUGGGCUCUGCAUUUCAAGUCGGUGUUACUACUUGGUGUUUACACCAGACAGGACCUGUUUUUGUUUCCAUGUUCAAGCCCAUAGGCAUUGUCAUAUCGGUGGUUGUAGGUGUUGCCAUCCUUGGAGAUGCAUUCUAUCUUGGAAGGUAAGUUUGUGUCUCUCUUCUAUAUUGUGUUCAGUUGUACUGUUGAGUUUAUUCAACGAUCGCGAAUUCAUUGUCUUUCAAUGCAGUCUGGUUGGUGCAACUGUGAUUGUUCUUGGGUUUUAUUCUGUACUGUGGGGGAAAUCCAAAGAUAUUGAAGUGAAAAGCUUGGAAUCAAGGGGGAAACAGACCCCUCUUUUGAAGGAAAACAGCAGUGAAGACAUUUAAAGUACAUUUAAAAGGAUGCUUGCUACAAUUCUGCCGCAAAUAUGCAGUUUCGAUUGUUUCACUCAGAGUAAGGGAGUAAGCUCUGACUCUGAAGUAUGUUACAAGAAAACUAUCUGGUAAAUCUUCUAAGAAAUAUUUUGAUUCAAUUGAUCUGUAUUUAGACAUAAAUUUUGAUAUACUCCCUCCGGUCCUAUUUAUAAGUAACAAAAAAAAAUUCACAUAGUUUAAGAAAUGUAGUUAAACUAGAUAAAAUGCAUUAAAUUUGUCUUAAAUUAAAAUGAACUUCCAAAAUUACCCUUUGUUAUUAGUGUUGGAAAGUGGAAAAGAAAGAGAAUAAUUAAAGAGACACAUUUUACAAGUUAGAAUUAAUAAGGGCAUCAUUGGAAAAAAUUAAUUAAUAUAGCUCAAACUUUCAUUUGGUUCUUAUAAAAAGGACCAAGAUUUUUCUUCUCUUUCAUGCUUAUAAAUAGGACCGGAGGGAGUAUAUGAUAUUCUGUAUUCAUGUAGCUCCUACCAAUGGGGAAAAAGCCCUGGUGUAUUUGUUAAGAAUAAUGACUAUUCAUAAAUACCACAUGCAAUCAAUUAGAUUGUUGGAAGAAAAUAUCAAUAAAUGCAUAGCAUUGAUUCAUGGAAAUCUCAAGCUUAGUUUCAAUCAAAUAAUCCAUCACAAAUUUUCUGCUCUGGAAAUCUCAAUUCCUACUAUUGAUUUUGAAGCCUAAACGUAGAGCUUCACAUCACAAGCCAAGAAAAACCAGCAGAUGAUGUCAUUGAUUCUGCUGGUAAUAAAUAAAAAAAAUGCAGAAAAAGAGCAAUGGGCGAUAAAUGAUGGAUUACUCACCUCAUGGCUUCAAUGUAACAUGAAGGAAGUACAAUCUAAUAGUAUGACCUACGGAGGGGAUACAACUUUUUCAAUUUGGAAUUCAAACUAUGACCAGUUACUGCCCAACAACGAAGAUAGUGAGACAGACCACUUUGAAAAACAACCUCGAUGACUUAUCAAAGGGAACCUUGUCCUUGGAUGAAUAAAUCCAAAAAAUCAAGGAAAUUUGUGACAAACUAGCUGCAAUUGAGAAACCUCUCUCAGAUGUAGACAAAACUUUCCAUAUCUCAAAAGGUCUUGGAAGCAAAUACAAGGAGUUUCAAAGUGAAAAUGGAUCCUCUUCAGCAGCAUCACAGCCAUUAAAUUUUAUAACCAACGGUUUAUAUUAGUAAUAGAAAUUGAUUGAUUAAAAAUUGACUAAUUUAAUUAAGUGCACACUAGAUAGAUGGUGUAGACGGUAGAGUGUUAGAAUAUAAUAUAAAAUCAUUCAUUUGACCAUUACCCAAUAGUUGAAACUUUUAAGAUAAUUGAUUGUUUGACAUGGUAUCAAAGUCUUUAUGACCAAGGUCUAGAGUUUAAUUCUUGCAGCCUCAAUUCUUCUUAUAAAUAAAGUUGAAUUUAAGCACAUGGUUUGUGUACUUGUCAAUGUCAACGCUUCAAGCCUAAAAAACUCUUACAUGAGGGAACGUGUUAAAAUAUAAUAUAAAAUAAUUCAUUUAACCCUUACUUAAUAGCUUAAUCUUUUUGAAUAUUUGUGUUUCAGUGUUUUACAAAGAAUAUGUAUUCUUUCAAAUCACGGUUUUAUUUUUUUUUAACAGAAAUGACGGUUUUAUUAAAACAUCCUUAUCCCCCCUUUUAAUCAUUAAAUUAAUGGGUUUGAAGUUAAAUUCCACAAAUUGAACAAGGAUAAGUUGCCAAGACGCUAUAGGAAAAGGAAAAACAAGGACAAAGGAAAAGAAGAACUAGACAAAGUUACAACUUGAGUAAUUAUUAUGUUAUUGCCACUUGAUGGUGCCCCACAAUUGUGAUUAGGAAGUCCCUAAACAACCAUAAAAAAAAAAAGGAAGUUCCUAAACAAGGAAAAGAAAAAUCAGAGAAAACUAACUAGCCACUUGUGUAAUACCAUUUGAUUAGGAAUUUCCUAAACAAGGAAGGAAGGAAGAAACUAGAAACCAGCAAUAGUUUUACAACGUGGCUGGCUAUGUGUCCUAAACCUUAAGGCGCCGCUUGGAAAUAAAACAAGAGCAGGGAUAGCGGUAUUCUUAUUCUACACAGUACGUUUGUUUGUUUUAAAAAUCCAUUUUUCGGUGGUUUAGUUUCUCCUUCUAUCUCUAUAAAUAACCUUCACGGACUCACAGUUUCUUCCACAAACAAAUACCAUUCAUUACCAGCUCACUCAUCAAUUCAUUCUCAGUUCAUCUUAAUUUCUGAAAGCUAUAGCUAUGUCGACCACAGCUGGUCAAGUCAUCAAAUGCAGAGGUCAGUGACACAAUCAUGAUCCACUCUAAUCUUUCCUUCUGUUCUGUUUUGAUCUAUCUAUCUAUCUGCUACCUGCUCUAUUUCUAGUUUACUUAUUUUACUUUAUAGGCAUUGAUUUUUCAGGUUUACACUAAAACUAACUAUGAUCAUCAUUCAUCAAUAUCUAAUCUUCUAACUAAUCUAAUUUCUGGAUCAGACAUGUUCUUCACACUUUUUAUGGCUACUUAACUUCAAAUGUUUAACAAAGUUUUGAUCUAUUUCGCUGAUUUUUUAUUCUAUCCAGAAAAUUUUUAAAACCCUUUCCCUCUUUUUAGAUCCUUCUCUGUAUAAAUAGAAAAUUAUAAAUUUUGUUGAGCACUGUUUCUUAUUGUUGAAUAUUCGAGGGUAUGGCUAUAAAUUCAGUGAUAAUGUGUUGCUAACUGUGUGUCUUGGUUGAUUUGUUGGAACUUGGAAAUGUACUAGCCGCGGUUUCAUGGGAGGCAGGGAAGCCACUAGUGAUUGAAGAAGUGGAGGUGGCGCCGCCGCAGGCCGGUGAAGUGCGUCUGAAGAUACUCUACACCUCCCUUUGCCACACUGAUGUUUACUUCUGGGAAGCUAAGGUAACAAACAAUAAACUUGCAUUACCCACUCUACAUUCUAUUUAUAUUUAGCUCAAGUUGUUUAAUAUGAUCUUCAUUUUCCCCUUGUUUCAGGGUCAGACUCCAUUGUUUCCUCGUAUAUUUGGUCAUGAAGCUGGAGGGUAUGUUUCUCUUCUGAGUAUAGCACACAAUCACAUAUCAUAAAUCUAUGCCUUUUUGAUACAUUUGUUUGAACAUGAAAUACUUUUGGUUAAACCUUACUAAAAAUGUUGGCAUGAUGUUAUUCAGCAUUGUGGAGAGCGUAGGCGAAGGUGUGACUCAUCUGAAACCAGGGGACCAUGCUCUCCCAGUAUUCACAGGAGAAUGUGGUGAAUGCCCACAUUGCAAAUCAGAGGAGAGCAACAUGUGUGAUCUUCUUAGGAUCAACACUGAUAGGGGUGUCAUGAUCAGUGACAACCAGAGUAGAUUCUCCAUAAAAGGAAAACCCAUAUACCAUUUUGUUGGUACCUCAACAUUCAGUGAAUACACAGUUCUCCAUGCUGGAUGUGUUGCAAAGAUCAACCCUGCUGCCCCACUUGACAAAGUUUGUAUUCUCAGUUGUGGAAUAUGCACAGGUUUUGGUGCUACUGUCAAUGUUGCAAAACCAAAACCUGGUUCUUCUGUUGCCAUCUUUGGACUUGGAGCUGUUGGCCUUGCUGUAUGUUCCCCUUAUGCCUUUUGCUUUUGUGUGUGCAUAUGUUAUACUUAUACUUUUUACAGCAACUUAUAAAGGCUAAUAUUGACUUGAAAUUUAGGCUGCGGAAGGGGCAAGGAUUUCUGGUGCAUCAAGAAUCAUUGGGGUUGAUUUAGUUUCCAGCCGAUUUGAAGGAGGUAAAAUGUUUUCUUCUUCUUCCAUACAAAAUGCUUGAAGAUUCAGCUCAACAUAAAUGAAGUGGAUAUUCAAUUCUUGAUUGUAUUUCUGGUUUUAUUCUUGUUGGCAGCCAAGAAGUUUGGAGUCAAUGAGUUCGUGAACCCAAAAGAUCACGACAAACCUGUACAAGAGGUUAAUUCAUUGAAAAUUUCAUAUUAUGUUAUAUUUACGUUGACUUAAAGCUAUGCUUUUCCAACUUAUACUUUCACAUUCUGAUGCUAUGAAUUAAAAAUGUGAAUGCUGGUGUGCAGGUAAUUGCUGAAAUGACCAAUGGAGGUGUGGAUCGUGCUGUUGAAUGCACUGGCAGCAUCCAGGCCAUGAUCUCUGCAUUUGAAUGUGUCCAUGAUGUAUGCGAAAGCAGAACUCUUUUAUUCUAUGUUGCUGAAGAGUUCCUAUAAACCAAGGCCUAAUCUUGAUUGAUUUCUUCUUCUUUUUCACAGGGUUGGGGUGUUGCUGUACUUGUUGGAGUGCCAAACAAAGAUGAUGCAUUCAAAACUCAUCCUGUGAAUUUCUUGAAUGAGAGGACUCUUAAGGGCACCUUCUAUGGCAACUACAAACCCCGCACUGAUCUUCCUAAUGUUGUAGAGAUGUACAUGAGAGGGGUAAUUAAGCUUAUAAAAUGAUUUUCCUAAAGUCAUUCAAGUAGAACUAGUACAAUUUUGUUGCUAAGCAUCUUAUGGUGAUACUUUUGCAGGAACUUGAACUGGAGAAAUUCAUCACCCACACAGUUUCGUUCUCUGAGAUUAACAAAGCUUUUGAUUACAUGCUGAAAGGAGAGUCCAUCAGAUGCAUCAUCCGCAUGGAGGAGUAAAACCCAAAAACAAUGAUGUGUGAGUCCCUAUUUGGGGACUGAGUUCUCUUUCUGGUUGUGAAAGAAAAAAGGCAUAUAUAAAUAAUCCCUUAGGAGGAUUAUGAAAUUUGUGAUGUUUGAAUGUAUAGAAUGGCAGGGCCUUUGCUUCUGGGCUUGUCUAAUACAGAAUAAAUAAAAUGUGGCUUUUUUCAAUUUGCUGCUGUUCUAGUUAAUAAUUUAUUUUCAUCAUUCUAAAGUUAAAACGUUGUCUGAGGUUAAUAAUCUAAAGUUAAACGGAGAGCUUCGUUUUGACUAUUUGUAAGGUUAAUAAUCUAAGAACUGGUGCUGUCUUUGAUAUUUAGGAGUCUAGGAGCUUGUGUGAAAGUUUGUAAAUUGCAUUUGAAGAUGUUUAUAAGGGUGAAGUCUGGAUAGCUUUAUGCAACAAGAUGGGGAAUAUUUUAAGAUGCAAUUAGAUUAAAUGUAUACUUCAAUCAUCCAAGGAUUGGCACAGGAACAUUACAGUUCUAGUAUCUUUGUUUAGCAUAAACAUUGGUUCCACAGAUGAAUUCUCAAGUUAAAAGGGAUCAGUGCUUAUAAUGUUUAAAGUUGAAUUUGAAAACAACAUCAAUUAAUACAAAGACUAAAUGUAGCUAUAUGUUACCAGCUUUGAUGUUAAUUUGCUCCAUCUUUUGGUAGCAAAUAUGAGAAGAGAAUUUCGUUCCACAUAUCAGGAACACCAGGUAGACACCAAUGACUGCAAUCUGGCACAGAUGGCUUGUCACUCCAUGUACCCACAUGUCCAUCACUCCUAUAUGCUCCCAUGGGUGUAACAUGCAGAACUGUCACAGGAACAGUCAUUUUUUUUCACAACUCUGUUGAUCAUGUCUGAAAUUGGACUCUUGUCCCUGCCAUUUGUUCUCUUCCAAGGCCUUCGGGCCACCUUGCAAGCGUGGCGGUUCUGUCCACUGCCACAAAGAUAAGCAUAUUAAUAGCAUGUUUGACUAACUUCUCUUUCCACAGAAUCAAUUUUGAAAUCCAAAAGCUAUUCACAUAAGUUUCUCACUAGAAUUGAUUCUUAAUUGCAGAAAGAUUUCCAAACAUGCUAUAAGCCUUAACUCUUAUAGUUCACACUUUGCGCCUACCAUUAAGUUUGAUGGCCCUUGUGUUGCCAAGAGAAUAGAGAAAUAAACCCUUAAUUUGGUUAUGUUUAGUCAUUGUCUCAUCUAUAAACUUGCAAAACAAAUAGAUAAAAAUGGUGUUAAAACUUACCUCCAGUGAGAUGAUUCAAAGGUACGGAAGAAUACUCUUGUCCUGUUUGUGUUAAUUGUAUUCUCUACCCAAGAGGCCCAGGUGAGUAAAGCUGUGUUGAAAGCAGAAUUAAUUGGCAUUCCAAGCUUCAGUGAGUUACCAACCUGAAAGUACCAGCCCCUGGCUGAAGAGCAUGUUAGUAGCAAUAGUAGACAUUCUUCAAGAAAAGUUUAGGCUAGUCAUGUAGGGAAAACUAACACAUAUAUUAGUUAUACAUGAAUAUCCAAACAUUUUCACGUCUGGCUAACUCCGUGGAUGUUUGGAUACACGGUGCAAAAUCAACGUUAAGCCAAAAUCAUGGUGGAACGCCACAAAAACUAAGGACUCACAGUUUCUUCCACAAACAAAUACAAAUUCAUUACCAGCUCACUCAUCAAAUCAUUUUCUCAGUUCAUCUUAAUUUGUGAAAGCUAGCUAUGUCGAGCACAGAUGGUCAGGUCAUCAAAUGCAGAGGUCAGUGACACAAUCAUCAUCCACUCUAAUCUUUCCUUCUGUUCUGUUUUGAUCUAUCUAUCUAUCUGCUACCUGCUCUAUUUCUAGUUUACUUAUUUUACUUUAUAGGCAUUGAUUUUUCGGGUUUACACUAAAACUAACUAUUAUCAUCAUUCAUCAAUAUCUAAUCUUCUAACUAAUCUAAUUUCUGGAUGGGACAUAUUCUUCACACUUUUUAUGGCUAAUUAAACUCCAUUUAGCUUCAAAUGUUGAACAAAGUUUUGAUCUAUUUAGCUGAUUUUUCUUCUGUAUCCAGAAAAUUUUAAUUCCCUUUUUUCUGAUCCUUCUGAGUAAAUAAAGAAAAUUGUAAAUUCUGUUAGUUAACUGUUUCUGAUCCUUCUGUAUUGCUAAUGGAAUGAAUGAAUGUCCUGUUUUGAAAUGUACUAGCUGCGGUUUCAUGGGAGGCGGGGAAGCCGCUUGUGAUUGAAGAAGUGGAGGUGGCGCCACCGCAAGCCGGAGAAGUGCGUCUCAAGAUACUCUACACAUCCCUCUGCCACACUGAUGUUUACUUCUGGGAAGCUAAGGUAACAAACAACACACUUGCAUUACUCACUCAACAUUCUGUUUAUAUUUAGCUCAAGUUUAACAUAGAUCUUCAUUUUCCCAUUGUUUCAGGGUCAGACUCCAUUGUUUCCUCGUAUAUUUGGUCAUGAAGCUGGAGGGUAUGUUUCUCUUUUGAAUAUAACACUUGUGCACACAAUUAAUGAUUAUAAAUCCUUGCCUUUUUGAUAAAUUUGGUUCAUAUUUCUUAAGUUUAUAUGGUUUCAACAUGGAAUGCUUUUGGUUAAACCUUACUAAUAAUGUUGUUAUGAUGUUAUUCAGCAUUGUGGAGAGUGUAGGCGAAGGUGUUACUCAUCUGAAACCAGGGGACCAUGCUCUCCCAGUAUUCACAGGAGAAUGUGGUGAAUGCCCACAUUGCAAAUCAGAGGAGAGCAACAUGUGUGAUCUUCUUAGGAUCAACACUGAUAGGGGUGUCAUGAUCAGUGACAACCAGAGUAGAUUCUCCAUAAAAGGAAAACCCAUAUACCAUUUUGUUGGUACCUCAACAUUCAGUGAAUACACAGUUCUUCAUGCUGGAUGUGUUGCAAAGAUCAACCCUGCUGCCCCACUUGACAAAGUUUGUAUUCUCAGUUGUGGAAUAUGCACAGGUUUUGGUGCCACUGUCAAUGUUGCAAAACCAAAAC
rnacentral:lncRNA from 1 species